UUUUUUCCUUUUCUAAAGGUGUCGGAUUUUUGGCAAGUCGAUCUCGUUUCUCCCUGGAAAUGUCGAUGUUGCCUAAAAAUGUCGAUCCCACCUUUUUUCCGAGAAAGUCGAUGACUGCUGAUCCUUUUCUAAAGGUGUCGAAUUUUUGACAAGUCGAUCUCAUUUCUCCCUGGAAAUGUCGAUGUUGUAAAAAAUGUCG
rnacentral:lncRNA from 1 species